rnacentral:misc_RNA from 1 species
GUACCCUCAAGCUUUGCUUGGUGUUGGGCGUCUUGUCGUAUUACGACUCGCCUUAAAUUCAUUGGCAGCCGGCACUUUGGCCUAGGAGCGCAGCACAUUUUGCGAUCGUAGCCCGUUGUACUGGCGUCCAUCAAGAACAUUUACCAC